GCCAGCAUAGCUCAGUUGGUAGAGCAACGCAUUCGUAAUGCGUGGGUCGGGGGUUCGAGUCCCUUUGCUGGCUCCA
rnacentral:tRNA from 1 species